AAGUCGUAACAAGGUUUCCGUAGGUGAACCUGCGGAAGGAUCAUUAGCGAAGUUCGGAAUGCCGGUUCGGUGCUGAAGCUGCCCAGCGAUGGGAUGUGCUCGUCCGGGCCGGUGUCCCUUCUCUAUUCCACCCCACUGUGAACCAAGCGUGCGAGCAGAAGAGAGAUCGGAAGCUCGCAUGCACACCUUAACAUACCCCUUAUGAAGUAUCUGAAUGUACCUUGCGUUAACUCGCACAAAUACAACUUUCAACAACGGAUCUCUUGGCUCUC
rnacentral:misc_RNA from 1 species